ACAAUGGGGCGAUUGUGACAUAUUGCUGAGUCCAGCACUUAGAACUCCUGCUUGCUUUCAGAUGGAGGCUACUCAGAGACAGUACGUUCCUCCCAUGGGCCCAGGCUUUACUCACCUGCACAGUGAGGCUAAAGACAAAAGUGCUACAGAGCUCAGAGGCUGCUUUUAGAGAGGGUUUAUAUGCACAAAACCGAGUCUUGUUGUGUGGAU
rnacentral:lncRNA from 10 species